rnacentral:lncRNA from 1 species
AUGAGUGUCAAAGAAUUUGUUGCUUCUCCCUCAGAGGAGUUGUUAGACCACUGUACAAAAGACCAACUACUGAAAAUUGCAGAACAUUAUGAGGUAGAUGUUGGGGAUAAACGACAAAAAGAGAAAGUAAAGACCAUGUUGAAAUUGAAUUUAUUUGAUAAGAAAGUUUUAACUGAGGACCUGGCAACUGUUUCUCCUGGGGUAAUGUCUCCGAUCGUGAGAGAAACAGGUUUAACGUUUGACCAACAAAAAGAGUUGCUAAUGUUAAAAGCGGAAUUGGAGAAGGAGGUGACUGUGGAAAGGCUGCGCCAGGAGACUGAACAGCUUAAGUUGGAAAUUGAGCAGUCUAAAAUUGCGCUUAUAAGGGAAGGUAAGCUUCCAGCGGUCAGUGAAACAGGUAGGAAGUCGACCUCCAUGUCGGGUUAUGAGGAUUUUGAUGUUUUGGGUAACUUGCGCCUGUUACCAAAAUUUUCGGAGAGAGAGCCAGAGACUUUUUUCUCAUUGUUUGAACGUGUGGCUGAUGCGCGUAAUUGGUCAGACUCAGCGCGCACACUUAUGUUGCAGUGCGUAUUGACGGGUGAAGCGCAAGAGGCGUAUGCAUCAUUAAGUGAUUCUGACAGUCAAAAAUAUUAUUCCGUGAAGUCUGCUGUGUUGAGGGCUUAUGAGUUGGUUCCAGAAGCAUACAGGCAGCGGUUUAGGACAUGGAAAAAAGGUGAAAUGCAGAGUCACCUGGAGUUUGCGCGUGAAUUGACCACAUUUUUUACUCGUUGGUAUGGUGCUUCUGAUGUGGAAGACUUUGAGGGAUUGUGUGAUCUCAUUGUACUUGAGCAAUUUAAAAAUUCAGUGCCUGUGCGUGUUGCCACAUACAUCAGUGAGCAGAAAGCAAAAACUGCAGCUGAAGCAGCGGCUCUUGCUGAUGAUUUUGUGCUGACGCAUAGAGGCAGUUUUGGGGAGCCUAGACCUGGUAUUGGUCCUGUCGGUGGCAUGGAGUCGGUGGCUGGCAUGGUAAACAUUAUCAAGUGGAUGGUAGAGGUGGCAAUAUACGUGAUCCAGAAAAAGUUUGUAACUACUGUCACAAACCAGGACACUGGAAAAUUGAUUGUCAGUGGUUAA